AUCCUCUCCUUGGCAGCACAGAUGCUAAAAUCAGGAUGGUACAAAGGGAGAUUAGCACGGCCCCUGUGCAAGGGUGACACGCAAAUUUAAGAAGUAUUGCACAUUUUC